UGUCAAGCAAAUUUGUGCGUGUCUUUGCAAAUGCUCUCUGAAGAAUGUGCACUUCACACGUUUACGAAUGUAGCUAGCUAUCUAAGGUGUCCGUGAGUGAUGAUUUGUUCCCAGGACUCCGUACCUUUGGCGCGGCCAGGCACAGAGAAGGUACUGGUGACUUAGCUGAGUGGGUCUGGUCAGAUGAACCCAACCCCUGCUGCUUACAAGGACUCUGACUACCUCUCUACGGAAAAGCUGCAAACUUAACAUGUGGAGAAACGUCAUCAGUGCGUGCUCUGCAAGAAAUGCAGUGGAUGAAGGCGCAGCAAGAGCAUGGUGAACGGAUAGAGGUGAUAAUGGACAGCGAGGAAGAAGGAGAAGAGCCAGGUGUAGUGGGAAGAAGCGUGUUGAGGAAGAAUGGCGUCAGACAUGAUAAGGAGGAAUCUGGGCCAAUAGGAGUGACAUUUUGGGAGAAAGUGGGCCCCAGCCUAUUGGCAGAUCCAUUUGUGGUUUCAGGGUGGGUGAGAAAGGAGUUGUAGGCAAUUGAAUCAGUGAAGUAACCUGUAGCGGACUUGUGAUACUAUAUGUUUUUGUGUUUUUUCUGAUCAGAGGGAGCAGGCGCUACCACGUUGUUUCUGGUGCAAUGGUCAUGUUUCAGCAGUGUGUAGAAGGGAGAUUCCAAGAUGUGGGAUGUGUGCAGUAGUGCAUGGGACAGAGUAUUGUGUAAUUUCGGUGGAUAAAGUUGUAUGUGUCAACUGUAGGGAUGCCCUUGUUGCUGGGGAUCUGAAGUGUCCUGGGCGACAGAGGCAGGUUGAAGUGGCCAGAGUCAGAGUAGUGCAGAGGGUGUCGUAUGCUGAGGCAGUGAAGGAAGUGGAGGGGGAUGAGUCAAGGGUGAGGGAUCCUGAGAGGAUCCCAGUGAGUAGUAGAUUUGUGCCAGCACAGAGGGAUAGGGUAACGAGUGAGUUAUGCUUCAGUAAGGUUGGCUUCUUAGUGUUCAUACUGUAGCAAUGGUUAUCAACUGUACCGCAGAAAUGGAAUGUAACUCACAGCAAAUAGAUGUUGUGGUGGCAGCUGCAGAGAAGGGUAUACGAGAUUUGACUUCAGAAGAGUUACAGGGUGUGUUGAGGGGUGGUGGCCCGUCCUCCCAGGCCAUCAAAGUAGUGGAAUAGUGUAGGUGGCAUCUGCAGAGAGGUACCUGGGUGUAUGAGUUAAUGGGGUGCUGAUUUUUAUUUAUAUGAAAUAGUGGUAUAUAGGUAUAGGGUUAAAUAGUGGUGUAUAGGUAUAGGGUUAAAUAGUGGUGUGUAUAUAGGUGUAGGGUUAAAUAGUGGUGU